AUCACACGGUUGCUGGAGCCUAUCCCUAAUACUGUUAGUUGAGGUGGAGUUCACCUUAAACAGGUCACCUGUCUGUUUCAGUUCCACACAUUUAUACACACAUGCACUAGUAGAAACACUUUUAGUCAUUUUUUAACCCAUGAAGAAUGUUUUUGGACUGGAGGAGGAACCCUGAGUUAAUGGAGUUAAUGGAGUUAAUGGAGUUAAUGGAGUUAAUCCAAAUGUCAUUUCUAGAUAAUCCUGACCAGUGUUUAUAAUAUGGAGUUAAAACUGUUCCAGAUCGUUGUUUUAGGUUAAAUGGAUUUUCAGUUCAGUUUGUCUAAAUAUACAGAAAUCGACUGAAAGUUUGUCUUCUUGGUGGUCGAACGAGUUUGUUUACAAGAUUAGUGAUGAAUUGAUGUUGUUGUUUUCACCACGAGGGAUUUAUCUGUUUUCUUUUAGCUUUAAUACCAGCGUGAAUCCUGAAAAUAAUGACCUUAUCGCAAACAGAUUGAGUUAAUUCAAGCAGAACCGUUUUAUCUCCUUUCAUCUUCGUCCAAUCUCUCCUUUUCUCUCUUGAUCCCUUCAUUUGUCGAUCAUAAAUUGCUCCAUUUGUCGUUUCGUUUUGGGAACAUCUCAGCAUCACAAGAUGAGCGCGUUUAAAGCUGGAGGAAAAUCUCAUCUGCAGCUCUGAGAGCUGAACUUCCCGACGGAUUUCCUCCUCAGGAGCUUCAUCGGAGCUCUCCUGGCUCUGUGGUCACUCCGCCUCUGCUGCUGUUCGACGCUCUGAUUGGUCGGAGUUAAUAGGAACGCUGUGAACUCUUUGUCAGUUGAAGCUGAGGUGAUGAAGGUCUGAUGAGUCAGCAAACUGGGAAGAGAAAACCUGUGAAAUCUGAAAGUCGUGUCCACUGCAGACAAAGUUAUGAAUGGACUGAUAAGAAUGAGGGAAUGAAAUGUCAAUGUACAUUAUUUAAGAGAUGUAUCUACAAUUGGUUCUUUCUCAAUUUGCAAGAUUUAGAAUACUUUAAAACUCUAAAAAUAGAUCAAAACGAUGGCGAUGUACAUUUACUGAACUUGGAAAAUGUGUGAUUAGUGAGGUAACAUUGUGCUUCUUAUCAAAUCCAGAACUUCAGAGGCAGUUUGAAGAUCUGGAUCCAUCUGGACCGUCCAGAUAUAAGAUGCUGUAUCUGUGGAGGAGAUCCAAUCAUGUUCAGAAGAGUUUCAACAAUCAGGAGGAAAGUUUUCAUGAUGAACACGAGAUAAUGUCCCGCUUUAGGAGGAGAUGCAAACGAGUCAGUUCAGCCCAAAGUCAGAGCCGCGGAAAGUUUCAGCUGCUCCCUUUAGGGGGCGCCACAGUGAAUAACCUACUUCAGUCGGACCUUCACCUCCACAUCCAUGAACCUCUUUGGUCUCCUUCCACUUGAACCUCAACAUCCUUCUACCAACAUCAUCCCUGCUCAUCGUCUCAACGUGUCCAAACAGAUAAAAUAUUUAUUGCUUUAUUAAAACUUUUGAAACUUU